UACGAACUGUGCAAACGUUAUUCGGAAUCACUGGGCUUAAAGGGUGCGUAGGCGGCUUGUUAAGUAGGGUGUGAAAUCCCUCGGCUCAACCGAGGAACGUCGAUCGAUACUGCUGUUCUUGAGGAUUGCAGAGGAGACUGGAAUUCCCGGUGUAGCGGUGAAAUGUGUAGAGAUCGGGAGGAACACCGGUGGCGAAGGCGGGUCUCUGGGCAAUUCCUGACGCUGAGGCGCGAAAGCGUGGGGAGCAAACGGG
rnacentral:rRNA from 1 species